GCGGGGCGAACUGAACAGGCAAUAUUUCUUCCGGGCGGGGAAAUAUGUGGCUGGGCCGCGGAAGCGGCAGCAGAAGGAGCAUUCAGCGCAUCUGCGGGACAGGA
rnacentral:ncRNA from 1 species